ensembl:lncRNA novel transcript
ACUGAGAUGAGAAAGGCUUGGAGAGAAGCAGUUUGGUAAGGAAAACAAAGAAUUAUACUUUCCACAUGCUACAUUUGAGAACGGAUAUUAGGUAUCUAAGUGGAGAUUUCAAGGAAGCUGUUGAAUAUACCAAUUGGAGCUCAGAAGGGAGUAGAUUCCGAGAGUCUUUUCAGCAGAUCUAUGGCACUUAUAACUACUGGACUAAUAAGGUCACCUGGAAAAGCUGUGAUCCUUCAGUUGGAGAGAGUCGGCUGUUUCUGGGCUUAUUUUUCAUCUGUCCAUUGGCAUUUCUGGGUUGUCAGCCUCUCCAGCUCAAGAUCUGGCAUCUAUGAGGAAGAAACAACAGCAGAGAACUCAUCACCCUGUUGUUCCUCUGCACCCAGUGUCACUGGCCAGUCUGCCUUCUUCUACCUUUCAGAGUCUUCUUUGUUAUUACUGUUGUUGUUCUAAAUUAGGAUAUAAUUUAUAUACCACAGAACUCACCACUUAGAAGUGUACAAUUCAGUGGUUUUUAGUGUAUUCACAAGGUGCAACCAUUACCAUUAUCUAAUCCCAGAACACUUCUGUUCUGUUCUGUUCUAUUCUACUCUUUUUUCUUACCCCCAGAAGAAAACUUGUAUCUUAUCCAUCACUUCCUAUUGCCUCACACCCCACCGCCAGCCUUAUUCUGGACAUUUCAUGUGAAUAGAAGCAUAAAAUUUGUUGCCUUUUGUGUCUGACUUUUUUUACUUAGCAUAAUGUUUUAAAAGUUCAUCCAUGUUGUAGCAUGAAUCAGUAUUUCAUUUUCAUGGCUAAAUAAUAUUCCACUGUAGGUAUAUACCACAUUUUAUUUAUCCACUCAUCAGUUGAUGGGCGUUCAGUUGUUUAACUUUUUCACUAGUGUGAAUAAUGCUACUACGUGCAUUCACAUCCAAGUUUUUCUAUGAACAUAUGUUUUCAAUUAUUUUGGGUAUAAACCUAGGAAAGGAAUUGCUGGGUCAUAUGGUAGCUUUAUUUUUAAAUUUUUGAGGAACCGUCAAACUAUUUUACAAGGUCACUGUACUAUUCAACACUCUUAAUAGCAAUGCAUGAGGGUUCCAAUUACUUCAUAUCCUUGUCAACACUUGCUAUUGCCUAUCUUUUCAAUUUUAGCCAUCCUAGCGGGUGCGGAGUUAAACCUCAUUGUGUUUUUUAGUUGCAUUCUCCUAAUGACUAAGAAUGUUGAGCAUCUUUUCAUGUGGCCAUUUGUAUAUCUUCUUUGGAGAAAUGUCUAUUCAAACCCUUUCCUCAUUUUUAAAUUGGAUUAUUUGUCUUUUUAUUGUUAAGUUGUAAGUGUUGUUUAUAUAUUUUGGAUAUGAGAUCCUUAUCAGUUAUAUGAACUUAAACUACUUUCUUCUAUUCUGUGAGUUGCCUUUUCAUUUUCUUGAUAGUUCCCCUUGACUUUCUGCACCUUGUUAUAUUUGCUUUGUAUAUCAUGACCAGGAUUUAUAGUUAUACUUAGUGGGGAUAAUAGAGAAGGUUAUACCAAAUCUAUUUUCCCAGAAGUAGAAGUCUAGACUGUAGAGGACAUUUCAAUAAUAUUUUUAAAAUAUCAGUCAGUGAAAACUAAAAAAAAACAAAAAACCAAGAGAUACAAACUGGUCCAAUUUUUUCUCAUAAUCAUCCAAUGUAGAAUAAAUACACAGGCAACACUGACACCAUAUUCUUCAACCUCCUGGCAAGUCCUGAGCCUCACUCAGAGCUGAUGCUGUUCACGUAGUUGGUUGGAUGUGGAUAACAGAGGAGUUUUCACUGGAGCGUACAGUUGAGCCCCUAUGAGACCAACAGGCUGAUGGCUUCAGUGGCACUAGUUUAAAAAAAGAAAAAAGCCACAUUCUACAACCUGUGCUACUUUCUUUGGAAUAUAAAUUGUGGGCCUCUGUGAUACACAAUCACAACUCUCUGACCUCAUUUUGUAAAGGGAGGAGUAGGCUUCUUCAAUCCACCCUUUCUAUUUUAUAAAGAAAAAACUAAAAGAAAACAGACAGGAUUUCUAAUUCCGUGUUCUUUCUAUGAGAGAAAAAAAUAUAAAAUGCUGGGUUUGAUGGCCUCAGGCUCCAUGCAAGUGAUUACCUCUAAGUCUAUUCCAUAACUCUAGAUGAUAAAGAUGCAACAUUAUGUAGCAUUUGCCAGUAAUAAUACUAUUAAUAAACCAAAAUAGGUAGCUUCUGUAUAAAAUUAGAAGGCUAGCCCUUCCGCCCUUUCACAUUUGGGAUCUCCAAACCAGUUUAGUUACUGUUUUUCUUUUUCAUGAAACAGAAUACCCUGUCAUUUAGAUUAAAAGUAUGACAUAAUUGUAAUAAGUGUUAAACAUUAAAACCGUAACUCAAACUACAUAACACAACAUUUUUGGGACUCAAGAGCAACUGGAAAGAAAAACAUGCAGAGUGGUUAAUACACUACCCUUGCACCGGUUUUAGACCAGUGCUAAGCAGGCUCUGCUCUUGUCUUCCACCAUCUGACCGCUUCAGGCUGGGGAUAAAAAGAAAACCAAGCUGAAGGAGCAGGACUACCUAAGGUCCAGAUCCAGGUCACUCACUGUGUACUUAGGACGCAGGAAUUUCCUGCUCAAUUGGCUCCAAUCACAUUUUCAGAACCGGUACAGGUCUCUUCUCCCAGGUUGGUUCUCCUGAGGAUAGACUCUGUCUACCUAGGACUGUGGCUAAUAGGGGGCUGCCUUGGGACAUUGUGGAUGACAUUUAGAUGAGUGGAAUGGGUGUCUCUAGGUCUGCAUGCUUGUAAAUUUCUUUGUGGUGCAAGUCUGAGCCUCAGUAGGGAAAGGGUAGGGAACAGCCCUUUCAUUAUGGCCACGUUCAAGUGUGGAAUAUAAGGAAUAAAGAAACUCUAUUUGAAGUUGGCCUUUCCAAAAAUUAGAAAGAUAUAUUUGUCAAUGCAGAAGCAUAAAACAUAUUUAACAGUUGGUUAACUUGACCUGUAACAUUUCAAAUAUUUAGGAGGGUCUGCUAUUGUAGUUUGGUUCCACCUUAAAAAUGUUAAGGGUACAUCUAAGCAUUAUCAGUCUUUGACAACUCUAGUUCAAAAAGUGAAUAAGAAAACUGAGCAUUUGAAAUAAUUAAUAAUGCAUCCUUUAAAACUUUUAGGCUUGCAAGCACUGUAUGUACCUUCUUUAGUACAAUCUUUAUCACAUGGUUUAUACAUCUCCCUUUUUAUUGAUAUAUGCUGGUUGUCUUUCAAUAUCUUAAAAAAUAGAAGACCAUGAGAAGUUACCUUUCAGUUUCUUCAUAACAUGAGAAACUUCUACCUGUCUAAUCCCUCUCCCAUCAGAGAGAGACUGGCUACAUUCCCUGUCCUAUGGGACCCAAGCAGCUCUCAGCUGACACUAUGAUGGAUGGAGCAGCAGAGGCCCAUACGUCAACUCUCAGGAAAGAAAAACCAGUAAAUCAGAGGAGCAUAUCCAGAGAGAGUCAGAGGAAAGGCUGCAUCAGGAAGUAGAUUGCAAAGCCACAUCUAGGGAGGUCAGGAAAGAGGCAGGGACAGCAGACAGCUCAGCAGACAGGAAAGGACAGUGAGAAUGCAUUUGUCAGGGCAAAAGACAUAGCUGUGGCCAAGACUGGGAUUUGGGGUUUCCUAUGCGUGUAUGAUCUGAAUCUAUUUUUAAGGGUCCAGGAAGGAGUGAGCAUAGCCUCUCAUUCCUACAAUUUUGUGUGAAUGCUGUAAAGUUGGUAUACUGCCUAAUUUAUCUCUUUCUUUUUAAUUCUGGAAUAUUUAAGUGACUUAAACAUUUAAUAAAUAACUAACAUCUGUUGUUUUAU